rnacentral:rRNA from 1 species
UGGGGAAUCUUGCGCAAUGCGCGAAAGCGUGACGCAGCAACGCCGCGUGGGGGAAGAAGGCCUUCGGGUUGUAAACCCCUUUCAGUUGGGACGAAGCUUCGGCGGUGAAUAGCCGCCUGGAGUGACGGUACCUUCACAAGAAGCCCCGGCUAACUACGUGCCAGCAGCCGCGGUAAUACGUAGGGGGCUAGCGUUGUCCGGAAUCAUUGGGCGUAAAGAGCGUGUAGGCGGCCCGGUAAGUCCGCUGUGAAAGUCGGGGGCUCAACCCUCGAAUGCCGGUGGAUACUGUCGGGCUAGAGUGCGGAAGAGGCGAGUGGAAUUCCUGGUGUAGCGGUGAAAUGCGCAGAUAUCAGGAGGAACACCAAUUGCGAAGGCAGCUCGCUGGGACGUAACUGACGCUGAGACGCGAAAGCGUGGGGAGCAAACAGG